rnacentral:rRNA from 1 species
UUGGAGGGCAAGUCUGGUGCCAGCAGCCGCGGUAAUUCCAGCUCCAAUAGCGUAUAUUAAAGUUGUUGCAGUUAAAAAGCUCGUAGUUGAAUUUCGGGAUCAAUAUGUCGGUCGUGCCUUCGGUACGUACUGGCAUCAUUGGUUUCUCCCUUCUGACAAACCAUGAUGUCAUUAAUUUGGUGUUAUGGGGAGUUAGGACUGUUACUUUGAAAAAAUUAGAGUGUUUAAAGCAGGCAUUAGCUUGAAUACAUUAGCAUGGAAUAAUGAAAUAGGACGUUUGACCCUAUUUUGUUGGUUUCUAGGAUCGACGUAAUGAUUAAUAGGGAUAGUUGGGGGCAUUAGUAUUCAAUUGUCAGAGGUGAAAUUCUUGGAUUUAUUGAAGACUAACUACUGCGAAAGCAUUUGCCAAGGAUGGUUUCAUUAAUCAAGAACGAAAGUUAGGGGAUCGAAGACGAUCAGAUACCGUCGUAGUCUUAACCAUAAACUAUGCCGACUAGGGAUCGGAUGAUGUUAAUUUUUUAAUGACUCAUUCGGCGCCUUACGGGAAAC